rnacentral:rRNA from 1 species
AUUGAACGCUGGCGGCAUGCUUUACACAUGCAAGUCGAACGGUAACAGGCCGCAAGGUGCUGACGAGUGGCGAACGGGUGAGUAAUGCAUCGGAACGUGCCCAGUCGUGGGGGAUAACGCAGCGAAAGCUGUGCUAAUACCGCAUACGAUCUGUGGAUGAAAGCGGGGGACCGUAAGGCCUCACGCGAUUGGAGCGGCCGAUGUCAGAUUAGGUAGUUGGUGGGGUAAGGGCUCACCAAGCCGACGAUCUGUAGCUGGUCUGAGAGGACGACCAGCCACACUGGGACUGAGACACGGCCCAGACUCCUACGGGAGGCAGCAGUGGGGAAUUUUGGACAAUGGGCGCAAGCCUGAUCCAGCAAUGCCGCGUGCAGGAAGAAGGCCUUCGGGUUGUAAACUGCUUUUGUACGGAGCGAAAAGGCUCCCUCUAAUACAGGGGGCUCAUGACGGUACCGUAAGAAUAAGCACCGGCUAACUACGUGCCAGCCGCCGCAGUAAGAC